ACCUGACUGCUAUCGGAUUGAUACUAAGCCAUGCGAGUCAUUGUAGCAAUACAAGGCAUACGGCUCAGUAACGCGUAGUCAACCUAACCUAUGGACGGGAAUAACCUCGGGAAACUGAGAAUAAUGCCCGAUAGAACAUUAUGCCUGGAAUGGUUUAUGUUCCAAAUGAUUUAUCGCCAUAGGAUGGGACUGCGGCCUAUCANUUUGUUGGUGAGGUAAUGGCCCACCAAGACUAUUACAGGUACGGGCUCUGAGAGGAGUAGCCCGGAGAUGGGUACUGAGACACGGACCCAGGCCCUAUGGGGCGCAGCAGGCGAGAAAACUUUGCAAUGUGCGAAAGCACGACAAGGUUAAUCCGAGUGAUUUCUGCUAAAGAGAUCUUUUGUUAGUCCUAGAAACACUAACGAAUAAGGGGUGGGCAAGUUCUGGUGUCAGCCGCCGCGGUAAAACCAGCACCUCAAGUGGUCAGGAUGAUUAUUGGGCCUAAAGCAUCCGUAGCCGGCUCUGUAAGUUUUCGGUUAAAUCUGUACGCUCAACGUACAGGCUGCCGGGAAUACUGCAGAACUAGGGAGUGGGAGAGGUAGACGGUACUCGGUAGGAAGUGGUAAAAUGCUUUGAUCUAUCGAUGACCACCUGUGGCGAAGGCGGUCUACCAGAACACGUCCGACGGUGAGGGAUGAAAGCUGGGGGAGCAAACCGGAUUAGAUACCCGGGUAGUCCCAGCUGUAAACGAUGCAGACUCGAUGAUGCAUUGGCAUAUAGCCAGUGCAGUGUCGCAGGGAAGCCGUUAAGUCUGCCGCCUGGGAAGUACGUACGCAAGUAUGAAACUUAAAGGAAUUGGCGGGGGAGCACCACAAGGGGUGAAGCCUGCGGUUC
rnacentral:rRNA from 1 species